rnacentral:rRNA from 1 species
AGAGUUUGAUCCUGGCUCAGGGCGAACGCUGGCGGCGUGCCUAAUACAUGCAAGUCGAGCGGGCAGAUGGGAGCUUGCUCCCUGAUGUUAGCGGCGGACGGGUGAGUAACACGUGGGUAACCUGCCUGUAAGACUGGGAUAACUCCGGGAAACCGGGGCUAAUACCGGAUGGUUGUUUGAACCGCAUGGUUCAAACAUAAAAGGUGGCUUCGGCUACCACUUACAGAUGGACCCGCGGCGCAUUAGCUAGUUGGUGAGGUAACGGCUCACCAAGGCGACGAUGCGUAGCCGACCUGAGAGGGUGAUCGGCCACACUGGGACUGAGACACGGCCCAGACUCCUACGGGAGGCAGCAGUAGGGAAUCUUCCGCAAUGGACGAAAGUCUGACGGAGCAACGCCGCGUGAGUGAUGAAGGUUUUCGGAUCGUAAAGCUCUGUUGUUAGGGAAGAACAAGUGCCGUUCGAAUAGGGCGGUACCUUGACGGUACCUAACCAGAAAGCCACGGCUAACUACGUGCCAGCAGCCGCGGUAAUACGUAGGUGGCAAGCGUUGUCCGGAAUUAUUGGGCGUAAAGGGCUCGCAGGCGGUUUCUUAAGUCUGAUGUGAAAGCCCCCGGCUCAACCGGGGAGGGUCAUUGGAAACUGGGGAACUUGAGUGCAGAAGAGGAGAGUGGAAUUCCACGUGUAGCGGUGAAAUGCGUAGAGAUGUGGAGGAACACCAGUGGCGAAGGCGACUCUCUGGUCUGUAACUGACGCUGAGGAGCGAAAGCGUGGGGAGCGAACAGGAUUAGAUACCCUGGUAGUCCGCGCCGUAAACGAUGAGUGCUAAGUGUUAGGGGGUUUCCGCCCCUUAGUGCUGCAGCUAACGCAUUAAGCACUCCGCCUGGGGAGUACGGUCGCAAGACUGAAACUCAAAGGAAUUGACGAGGGCCCGCACAAGCGGAGGAGCAUGUGGUUUAAUUCGAAGCAACGCGAAGAACCUUACCAGGUCUUGACAUCCUCUGACAAUCCUAGAGAUAGGACGUCCCCUUCGGGGGCAGAGUGACAGGUGGUGCAUGGUUGUCGUCAGCUCGUGUCGUGAGAUGUUGGGUUAAGUCCCGCAACGAGCGCAACCCUUGAUCUUAGUUGCCAGCAUUCAGUUGGGCACUCUAAGGUGACUGCCGGUGACAAACCGGAGGAAGGUGGGGAUGACGUCAAAUCAUCAUGCCCCUUAUGACCUGGGCUACACACGUGCUACAAUGGACAGAACAAAGGGCAGCGAAACCGCGAGGUUAAGCCAAUCCCACAAAUCUGUUCUCAGUUCGGAUCGCAGUCUGCAACUCGACUGCGUGAAGCUGGAAUCGCUAGUAAUCGCGGAUCAGCAUGCCGCGGUGAAUACGUUCCCGGGCCUUGUACACACCGCCCGUCACACCACGAGAGUUUGUAACACCCGAAGUCGGUGAGGUAACCUUUUAGGAGCCAGCCGCCGAAGGUGGGACAGAUGAUUGGGGUGAAGUCGUAACAAGGUAGCCGUAUCGGUAGGUGCGGCUG